CUUAAAUUAUGCUAUUUAUUUGAGAAAACCAGUGGUCAGAGGGAUGAAAAAAUAACUUACUUAAUAUAAAAUAGCUAUUCGGAGACCUAGAAAAAAAGAUCCUCAAGUAGAAAUAAGUACACUUUGGACCUACUCCUAUAUGCGCCACUAACGUGUUAGAAAUGGCAGCAGAAAGAUGACUCUAACUGUGACCAGGGACUUACCAAAUGCAUGUAGUUUAUAGAUUCAGGACACCAUGUCCAAGAAAGGUCCCAUUCCCUGUGUAAAUUGAGCAUGUUCACAUCUGUCUCAGAAUCCUGACUGUGGCCCACAAUUAUUUUGGUCACGGGAGGAGAGUUAACCAACAUUAACCAUAGACUUGUUUGUGCUGCUUGACUCAAAUAGGAUGAUGAACCAAACAGUAGAUGGAUCGGGUUUAAAGUGGCAGCCACAAUGAGUCAGAGUAAUUCAGUGUAGACACAGAAAUAAGGAGAGAUAGUCAUACAUGGAACACUCACUACAUACUAUAAGCAUCACAAUAAGCACUUUACAUCUCCAAUGUUCCAACGGCUUUCUUAGGAAGCUUCUAUUUUGAUCCCCAUUUUUCAGAUGAGGAAAAUAAAACUUAUUUAAACGAUUAAAUAGUUUAUCUAAGGUCAUAUAGUUAGUAAGUAGUAGAACCAGAUUUUGGACGUAGGUAGUCUGACUCAAGGCACAUAUUCCUGAGGAGAGAGAGAAGCCAAGAUGUGGUGACCAGCCUGAUACUACAGACUUUUCAGUUCAGGUCUAGUUUCUUAAAGGCUGUAUUUUCUUCAUUUUUUGUGUUCUAUGAGAUUUACUCUAUACCUUCUUUCCACAUGUUUACAUGAGCUAAGUUUAUUCCUUCAACAAAAAGAGCCUGUACUAAAUGUUGGGAAAUUAGGUGCUGAGAGUAGAGACUGCAGAAACAGGCUAUGGAAGCUACUUACACAACAUAUGAGAUACCAGACACAGCAGCAUUUUAACAAAGACAUCUCCAACUGGAGGGAGAAGCCAGGAGCUGAGUGUUUCCUCCUGAUCAUGUGGUACUGUGCCAGGGAAAAGUACUGGGGGAAGAGAGAAUAGAAUGCUAUGAAUUUUUCUACUAGCGCUGAUAUCAUUGGUUUGCUGCUUUCCUGGGGUUAAAAGAGCCUUUUGACUGAUUUCUAGAUUUCUCACAAAGGAAAUUGGUACAGGUAUUGUUGAAUCGCUAUCUCAAUGAGAGGAAGAAGGGUCUGGGGCUUUUUAUUCUGACAUCUUGCUGAUGUCACAUAUAACAUUUUUUG
ensembl:lncRNA